rnacentral:rRNA from 1 species
GACGAACGCUGGCGGCGUGCUUAACACAUGCAAGUCGAACGGUAAGGCCCUUCGGGGUACACGAGUGGCGAACGGGUGAGUUACACGUGGGUGAUCUGCCCUGCACUUCGGGAUAAGCCUGGGAAACUGGGUCUAAUACCGGAUAGGACUCCGGACUGCAUGGUCUGGGGUGGAAAGCUUUUGCGGUGUGGGAUGGGCCCGCGGCCUAUCAGCUUGUUGGUGGGGUGAUGGCCUACCAAGGCGACGACGGGUAGCCGGCCUGAGAGGGUGACCGGCCACACUGGGACUGGGAUACGGCCCAGACUCCUACGGGAGGCAGCAGUGGGGAAUAUUGCACAAUGGGCGCAAGCCUGAUGCAGCGACGCCGCGUGAGGGAUGACGGCCUUCGGGUUGUAAACCUCUUUCAGCAUCGACGAAGCGAAAGUGACGGUAGGUGCAGAAGAAGGACCGGCCAACUACGUGCCAGCCGCCGCGGUAA